rnacentral:tRNA from 2 species
CAAAAGCUAGUUUAUUAAAAUAGCUACUUUGGGGGUAGCAGAUAUAGGAAUUUCCUAUGCUUUUGA